CAUGAUCAUUUAUCUAAAAUCUAAGUGUGAAGCUGUUUUGUUGAAGCUCCAAUUGUCAACCCUAGAAUUUUGCCGCAAUGUUGAUAUCGAGGUAUUUGGUCAAGAAUAUCGUGAUAUUUUAUUUCCUUCCUAUUGCCCAGCCCUAC